ACCCCACCUGCCCCUCCCUCUGAAGCAUGCAUAGGGUACUGUAGCUACUGACGUUACAGGCGUGAUUCAGAAAUUAGGGAGAGAUUUUAAUUAGAGAACAAUGGAUACACUUUUUCAAUGCCAGUUAACAAUAUUAUAGUUGUAUUUAUCAACUACAAAAAGGUUGGAUACCCUUUAACCCUGAUGGCACCCCGAACAACAUCACCCAGGUCAACAAAAGCCAGGCUAACAUCCCUCAGGCCAAUGACAGUCAGGCCUCCGUCACCCAGGCCAACGUCACCCAGGCCAACAUCACCCAGGCAGACGUCACCCAGGCAAACUACAGGCAGACUGACGUGUCCCAGGCCAACGUCACCCAGGCAAACUACAGGCAGACCGACGUGUCCCAGGCCAACGACAACCAGGCCAACGUCUCCCAGGUCUACCCCGGGGAAUGGUAAUAGAGGGGAGGUACGUGAGGCGACGUUGGCUCCUUCUCCUGGGAAUACGGCAGCUGGGCACCCCGACACGGACAGCUCCAAGUGGAGGUAAUUAGGGGAAAGUGCCAACCAGGAGUGGAGGCCAAAUAAAAGGAGGACUGUGGCACACCGCGAGGGAGAAGGGGGAGAGACGACACCAGGCAAAAGUAGAGGAGAAGGACCGCGCCAAACCAAAGUCAUUUUCUUUGUUAUGUUUAUUUUCUGUCCUAGUAAAGUUGUUUUUGCUGACUAAAACCUCGCUUAAAUGUGUCAAUCUCUGCACGCUCAACCCAACACCCACGGUUAACCACACUAUCUACUAACCCUAGCCCUAGCCUUAACUCUAACCUUAACCUUUACCCUAGCACUUAAUCUAAACCUCAACCUAACGGUAACCUUAGCAAGCAGCUGCUUAUCAACAGAUCGUCAGUUGCUUAUCAACAGUUACUUAUCAACAGACAGUAUGACCAUUUGUAGAGCAAAUCAAGUGUGACCAUAUAUCCCUUGAUGAUAGGUGGGGCAAACCACAUGCUUUCAAGUGAACAUUCCUCAACUGUUUGUAAUGAGUUUCUAUUGGGUGUGAUGGGUAAACCAGUUAAUGACAGUAAUAUUGGCUAUAAUAGAGAAAUAAUGAGGUCUUUGUCUUCAGUAUGUCAAUGGUGUCUAACAAAUAAAACUGUUCCAUUCAUACUGAGUUAUUGAUAUAUAUAUAUAAAACAAACCAAAAGGUUUGCACCGAUUUCCUCCCUGAGAGUCUCUCGAUACCCCUGAUCCCUCUCUCUCACCACAGUGAUCUGAUGCCAGGGUAAAUAAAACUGCUUCUGAAAACAGAAUCCCUAUUUUCCAUAUGUGAGUUUGCAUGAAAGAGAAACACAACAACCUUUUCUGGGUGAUGCAGACAUUUCACACACACAUAAUACAAAAGCAGGUUCAAUCUCUUGUGUCAUACUUCUAUCUUUAGUUUCACAUCUUAAAUGUGAUACUGCACCAAUCAGAUUGUGAAGUCUCUGUGUGUGAGGGUAGAGCAGCAGAGUUUUGUAAGAGGACAGGGAUGAGUUGAUAAACCUGUAGGGUCACAAUGACAGGAGCAGGAAAACCAGAGAGAUAAUAAGGUUCCAUCCAGAACCACUAGACCACCACUAAAACCCCCAAUAGAGCCACCACUAGAACCACCACUACAACAACUAGAACCACCACUGGAAGCACUAGAACCACCACUACAACCACCACCAGAACAAUCACUAGAACCACCAGAACUACCACUAGAACCACUAGAACUAUCACUAGAACCAACACUAGAACCACUAGAAUCACCACUAUAACUACUAUAACUACCACUAGAACCACUAGAACAACCACUAGAACAACCACUAGAACCAUCACCAGAACUACUAGAACCACCACUAGUACCAAGACUAGAACCACUAGAACUACCACUAGAACCACCAGAACUACCACUAGAACUACUAGAACCACCACUAGAACCACCACUAGAACUACCACUAGAAUCAUCACUAGAACCACUAUAACAACCACUAGAAUCUGCACUGGAACCAUGAGAACCACCACUAGAACCACCACUAGAACCACUAGAACUACCACUAGAAACACUAGAACCACCACUAGAACUACCGCUAGAACCACUAGAACCACCAGAACCACUAGAUUCACCUCUAGAACCACCACUGGAACCACUAGAGCCACCACUAGAACAACUAGAACCACCACUGUAACCACCACUGGAACUGAUAGGCCUUUGCACUCAAGUACAGAACAGUUCUACAUUCUAGUUCAGAAGAGACUGGUCAUUGUUGGAAGUGUGUGACCAUCCUCCUCUAUAUGCAUUUUUUAAAACCAUUUUUAAAAGAAGCAUGAAAAAUGAAAACAUGUAUACUUUUUUGAUAUACUAAAUAUCUUAAAACGUCUAACUGUAUGUCACGUUCUGACCUUAAUUUCCUUUGUUUUGUAUUUAUUUAGUAUGGUCAGGGCGUGAGUUGAGUGGGUUGUCUAUGUUUGUUUUUCUAGGUUUUGGGAAUUUCUAUGUUUCGGCCUAGUAUGGUUCUCAAUCAGAGGCAGGUGUCAUUAGUUGUCUCUGAUUGAGAAUCAUACUUAGGUAGCCUGGGUUUCACUGUGUAUUUGUGGGUGAUUGUUUCCGUGUCUGUGUUUGUUCGCCACACGGUACUGUUUCGGUUUUGUUCACGUUUAUUGUUUUGUAUUCAUUGAGUGUUCAGUUCAUGUUUUUAAAUAAACAACCAUGGA